UACGAAGGGGGCUAGCGUUGUUCGGAUUUACUGGGCGUAAAGCGCACGUAGGCGGCUCGUUAAGUCGGGGGUGAAAUCCUGGAGCUCAACUCCAGAACUGCCUUCGAUACUGGCGAUCUUGAGUCCGGAAGAGGUGAGUGGAACUCCUGGUGUAGAGGUGGAAUUCGUAGAUAUUAGGAAGAACACCAGUGGCGAAGGCGGCUCACUGGUCCGGUACUGACGCUGAGGUGCGAAAGCGUGGGGAGCAAACAGG
rnacentral:rRNA from 1 species